rnacentral:rRNA from 1 species
AGAGUUUGAUCAUGGCUCAGGACGAACGCUGGCGGCGUGCCUAAUACAUGCAAGUAGAACGCUGAAGUCUGGUGCUUGCACCGGAUGGAUGAGUUGCGAACGGGUGAGUAACGCGUAGGUAACCUACCUCAUAGCGGGGGAUAACUAUUGGAAACGAUAGCUAAUACCGCAUAACAGUCUUUAACUCAUGUUAGAGUCUUGAAAGGGGCAAUUGCUUCACUAUGAGAUGGACCUGCGUUGUAUUAGCUAGUUGGUGAGGUAACGGCUCACCAAGGCGACGAUACAUAGCCGACCUGAGAGGGUGAUCGGCCACACUGGGACUGAGACACGGCCCAGACUCCUACGGGAGGCAGCAGUAGGGAAUCUUCGGCAAUGGGGGCAACCCUGACCGAGCAACGCCGCGUGAGUGAAGAAGGUUUUCGGAUCGUAAAGCUCUGUUGUAAGAGAAGAACGUGUGUGAGAGUGGAAAGUUCACACAGUGACGGCAUCUUACCAGAAAGGGACGGCUAACUACGUGCCAGCAGCCGCGGUAAUACGUAGGUCCCGAGCGUUGUCCGGAUUUAUUGGGCGUAAAGCGAGCGCAGGCGGUUUGAUAAGUCUGAAGUUAAAGGCUGUGGCUCAACCAUAGUACGCUUUGGAAACUGUCAAACUUGAGUGCAGAAGGGGAGAGUGGAAUUCCAUGUGUAGCGGUGAAAUGCGUAGAUAUAUGGAGGAACACCGGUGGCGAAAGCGGCUCUCUGGUCUGUAACUGACGCUGAGGCUCGAAAGCGUGGGUAGCGAACAGGAUUAGAUACCCUGGUAGUCCGCGCCGUAAACGAUGAGUGCUAGGUGUUAGGCCCUUUCCGGGGCUUAGUGCCGCAGCU